GCUCUUCGAAUUUCAAACAUUUUUUUUUCCUGAUUUCACCCCAAAAACAAUUGGCUUGCUCGUGAAAAAUGGCAACGGCGGCAAUGGGUGGCGGAUUUGUGAAUGUGAUGAAAUCUGUACAUCAUAUGGUGACAAGUAAUGGCGUUGGCGUGUUGGGUAAGGCGGUAUGUGCAUCCUCAUCACGCUAUUUCCAUUUCUAUUCCGUGUCCCUACAAAGCAGAGGAAGGGGAGGAGGAGGAGGAUUACAAUUAUUCUGCUGCAGCAGAGGCGGCAGCGGCGGCUGCGGCGACUAUAGUGAUGGAAAUACUAACGGUUACUUAAAAUUGAGGGAUGAAGAGCUGAUGAAACAAUGCCAGAUGAACACCUUCAAAUCGUCGGGACCAGGAGGACAGCACCGUAACAAGCGAGAGUCCGCCGUUCGUCUCAAGCACCUUCCCACCGGUAUCGUUGCUCAGGCCGUGGAGGACCGAUCCCAGCACAUGAAUCGUGCAUCUGCUUUAGCACGCCUCCGCACUCUUAUUGCUCUCAAAGUCAGGAAUCCAGUCCAUCUCCACACAUAUUCUCCUCCUCCGGAGCUUCUUGAGAUUCUUCCUCCCAAGUCAACAAUUAGGGGAUCAGAUUCUCGUCCUCAAAUUGGACCCAACAAUCCUAAAUUUGUUCUGGGAAUGCAGGCUUUGCUGGAUCUAAUCUUUGCAGUUGAAGGUUCUGUAUCGGACGCAGCAAAGGUUCUGGGAAUGAGUACAGGGGCACUGUCACGGUUAAUACUAUCAGAUGAUUCUCUUCGGAUGGCAGUAAAUGAGCUGAGGGCUUCCAAGGGUAUGAAGCCGCUGAAGUAGCACUGUCAACCAUGGAUGCUAAUUAUUGCACUACAUAAUCAGCUAUGCAAUUGAAAAGCGUUUCAGGGCUCCGAGGCCUAGAUGUGUGCUUCUUGGUAUUUUGAUCCUCCAAAAAUAAGCAGUCCAAGCUAAGCGUAGCAAGAUAGAAGGGAAAGAUUUCCCUCCCAAAGCAGCAACAAUCCAGUCUUAGUCAGCAUUCCAAUCCAUUGGCGCUCUUGUUUUGUUCUGUUGCUAGUGGUGGUGUUUUAUGCUGGUUGUUUGUUGAUUUCUUUAUGGCUUGGGCUUGUCAAGGUGCUCUUCCCUCUCCGGUGCUGGUUUGGAAAGUCAUAAAGAAACGAUGGAGAGAAAGUUGCAUGAUUAUGAUGAUUGAUGGAGGGCGGGGCCUGGGGCUGGAGAAAAAGGCGACUUUCCAAAGUCAAAAUUGUUUAUAUACUCUUGAUGCUGCGAAUGGCUGGAGAGUUUGAUGCAGAAGAAUCCUAUUCCCGAAGAAUGAGGUUCUUUCCGCCCGCCCACCGCAAAACUCCUUUUGUGCCUCGUUGACUCUUUGGAGUGGUAGUUUAUUCAUUUAUAUCCAGACCAAAAAAAGUUGAAGGGAGAGAGAGAGCCUUGUAAGGCACUCUUUCUUAUUCCUAACAAUCAAUUCAUAGUUGAAAAGGGGGAAUGUUGAAUAUUGAUCAACACUAUCUCUCAAAUGAGAAAAGAAGAGAAUCCGAGGCUUUUACUGGUGUGGCCAAUGGCCAACAUCUCUCUCUCUCUCUCCCUCUCAAUAUUUUCCAAGAGCUUAUGGUUUAUCUUGGGGGACGGGUGCUGCUAUUAGUACGUGUAUAUAUGCUGCACAAUGUAAAAUCUUAGUAAAUUCUUUUUCAAGAGGGGCCUCUUUUGAGGGAUCCUAGAAUCUAUCCACUGAUACAUUAACCCUAACAAUCCUAGUUGCUAUUCAUUUUUUCCACGUUGACUUGAUGUGAACUUAAGUGAUGAGGCCAGGGCAAGUUAUUCAGAUUAAAAUCAUCACAGGGGAAAGCAGACUGUUCCAUUAUUGUUUUCUAUACUUUGUUUUGUUCGGUUCAUGCCAGUUUGACAUUGGAGUAUUUAAAAUCUAGCUAGAAUCGA